rnacentral:rRNA from 1 species
GAUGGACGCUGGCGGCGUGCCUAAUACAUGCAAGUCGAGCGAACGGACGAGAAGCUUGCUUCUCUGAUGUUAGCGGCGGACGGGUGAGUAACACGUGGAUAACCUACCUAUAAGACUGGGAUAACUUCGGGAAACCGGAGCUAAUACCGGAUAAUAUUUUGAACCGCAUGGUUCAAAAGUAAAAGACGGUCUUGCUGUCACUUAUAGAUGGAUCCGCGCUGCAUUAGCUAGUUGGUAAGGUAACGGCUUACCAAGGCAACGAUGCAUAGCCGACCUGAGAGGGUGAUCGGCCACACUGGAACUGAGACACGGUCCAGACUCCUACGGGAGGCAGCAGUAGGGAAUCUUCCGCAAUGGGCGAAAGCCUGACGGAGCAACGCCGCGUGAGUGAUGAAGGUCUUCGGAUCGUAAAACUCUGUUAUUAGGGAAGAACAUAUGUGUAAGUAACUGUGCACAUCUUGACGGUACCUAAUCAGAAAGCCACGGCUAACUACGUG